AAAGCCUAAAACAAAGACCUCCCUCCUCCUCCGGUUCGACGGGCGUGGCGUAGCUGUACCCGGCCCCGCCAAUGUAAAUGUGCGCUUGUCUAGUUCUUCAGCUUGGGUCAGGAGGACCUCAUGGCCAUGGGGGCCAUUGCUUGCAACGCAUGCCCCGAGACUGAUGCAAUGUUGUGACAGGGAGCGUGGCAGGCAGCGUCCGUCCACGAGAUGAGAUGAUGGGGGAUCGAAGCAGAAGCAGAGGAGCAGCAUGCAGUAGUUUUUCUGGCUGGCUGAUCUUGCAACAAAUUGGGUGCUGUGCAUGUAUGCAGAUGCAUGUCGUGCUCCAUGGGGAAGAAGACGGGGUUGGUUCUUGGUUCUUGUUGCACGGCAGGCAGCGGCAGAUUGAGGUGAGCUGGUGAGGUGACCAUCGUCGUAAGGUUACAGGUCUUACGCACUGGAAGUCUCAUUGUUCAACUUCAACCUCCAUUUCAGAAGCCAGUCAAUGCCCCAAUCUCCUGAAUCCUUAACUGCAUAGCUAUUACUACUACACUUUGAGCGAGUCAGGAGGAGGACGAAAUGCACACACAUACUCCAUAUGGGGAAUGAAUUACUCCACAACACCUCGCAAUCAGAUCGAUCAUAUUCAACAGAUGAAAAACCGAGGAAAUUAAAUGAGAGUGAAUAAUGGUCAAUGCACUGGCUGCUAGUGAAUCGUGAUCGAUCAAUCGAUGGACUGACCGAGUCAUCAGUUCAUCACGUAUGCAUGCUCCGUGCAGAUUGACCUGCAUAUCUGUUACGAGAUUGGCAGGCAAAUUAAGGCAGCAGCAGCAGCAGCAACCAUAUAUGGAUCAGAACUUGACCAUGUCGCCCUAUAGCCAGCUACUAUAGUAGUACUCUAGUAUAGGAGCAGUAGACAUGUACAUGUAAUUCUACGUGAUCUUCCUAUAUAUCGAUCUCUAUGUUAAUGAACCACUGUCAGGCUUGCUGGUGCACGGAAAGAGAAUAGUGCUGUAGCCAAGCCAACGGCGCCGGUGCCGUGGACUCGUGGAGCCUGGGUGACGAAGAGCUUUUUUUUUUGCCGGCUAAUUUUUAAGGGCAUUUUUUGGUGAUUGACAAUGGUGACAUUGGCGGCGAAGCCUUAUCAGGGUUGGGAGUAGUAUAUGAUAAAUUACAGGGAACCAACUCCCAGACUACACGGACUGUCAUAGUCCGGGAGCUGUGUCGUAGUCCGGGAGCUGUUCCGUCGGGUGUACAAUUUAUCGUAUACUACUCCCAAUCCUAAAAUUUUAGUCCUUAUUUUCUUCUUAAAUGCUGCUCUCCACAA